rnacentral:rRNA from 1 species
GACGAACGCUGGCGGCGUGCUUAACACAUGCAAGUCGAACGGAAAGGCCCUGCUUUUGUGGGGUGCUCGAGUGGCGAACGGGUGAGUAACACGUGAGUAACCUGCCCUUAACUUUGGGAUAACUUCAGGAAACUGGGGCUAAUACCGGAUAGGAGCUCCUGCUGCAUGGUGGGGGUUGGAAAGUUUCGGCGGUUGGGGAUGGACUCGCGGCUUAUCAGCUUGUUGGUGGGGUAGUGGCUUACCAAGGCUUUGACGGGUAGCCGGCCUGAGAGGGUGACCGGCCACAUUGGGACUGAGAUACGGCCCAGACUCCUACGGGAGGCAGCAGUGGGGAAUAUUGCACAAUGGGCGGAAGCCUGAUGCAGCAACGCCGCGUGCGGGAUGACGGCCUUCGGGUUGCAAACCGCUUUCGCCUGUGACGAAGCGUGAGUGACGGUAAUGGGUAAAGAAGCACCGGCUAACUACGUG